rnacentral:rRNA from 1 species
UACGUAGGGUGCAAGCGUUGUCCGGAAUUAUUGGGCGUAAAGAGCUCGUAGGCGGUUUGUCGCGUCGAAUGUGAAAACCCGGGGCUCAACCCCGGGCCUGCAUUCGAUACGGGCAGACUAGAGUUCGGUAGGGGAGUCUGGAAUUCCUGGUGUAGCGGUGAAAUGCGCAGAUAUCAGGAGGAACACCAAUGGCGAAGGCAGCUCGCUGGAACGGUACUGACGCUGAGGCGCGAAAGCGUGGGGAGCAAACAGG